GAUGAAGAACGUAGCGAAAUGCGAUAAGUAAUGUGAAUUGCAGAAUUCAGUGAAUCAUCGAAUCUUUGAACGCACAUUGCGCCCGCCAGUAUUCUGGCGGGCAUGCCUGUGUGAGCGUCAUUUCAACCCUCAUGCCCCUAGGGCGUGGUGUUGGGGAUCGGCCAAAGCCCGCGAGGGACGGCCGGCCCCUAAAUCUAGUGGCGGACCCGUCGUGGCCUCCUCUGCGAAGUAGUGAUAUUCCGCAUCGGAGAGCGAUGAGCCCCUGCCGUUAAACCCCCAACUUUCCAAGGUUGACCUCAGAUCAGGUAGGAAUACCCGCUGAACUUAAGCAUAUCAAUAAGCGGAGGA
rnacentral:misc_RNA from 1 species